ACGGUCCUAAGGUAGCGAAAUUCCUUGUCAGGUAAGUUCUGACCCGCACGAAUGGUGUAACGAUUUGGGCACUGUCUCAACAACCCGCCCGGCGAAAUUGUAGUACCGGUGAAGAUGCCGGUUACCCGCGACUAGACGGAAAGACCCCAUGGAGCUUCACUGUAGCUUAAUAUUGGAUUUUGGUAUUUCAUGUACAGGAUAGGUGGGAGACUGAGAAGCAAAGGCGUCAGCUUUUGUGGAGUCGCUGUUGGGAUACCACUCUUGAAGUGCUGAAAUUCUAACCUGCGCCCUUGAAUCAGGGCGGGGGACAUUGUUAGGUGGGCAGUUUGACUGGGGCGGUCGCCUCCAAAAAGGUAACGGAGGCGCUCAAAGGUUCGCUCAGCAUGGAUGGAAACCAUGCCAGAGAGUGUAAACGCAAAAGCGAGCCUAACUGCGAGACUGACGGGUCGAGCAGUAACGAAAGUUGGAGUUAGUGAUCCGGCGGUAUGUGAGUGGAAAUGCCGUCGCUCAACGGAUAAAAGCUACCCUGGGGAUAACAGGCUGAUCUCCCCCAAGAGUCCACAUCGACGGGGAGGUUUGGCACCUCGAUGUCGGCUCAUCGCAUCCUGGGGCUGAAUUCGGUCCCAAGGGUUUGGCUGUUCGCCAAUUAAAGCGGUACGCGAGCUGGGUUCAGAACGUCGUGAGACAGUUCGGUCCCUAUCUGUCGUGGGCGAAGGAUAUUUGAAAGGAGCUGUCCCUAGUACGAGAGGACCGGGAUGGACGCACCUCUGGUGUACCAGUUGUCACGCCAGUGGCACAGCUGGGCAGCUAAGUGCGGAACGGAUAAACGCUGAAGGCAUCUAAGCGUGAAGCCGGCCUUAAGAUAAGAUAUCCCAUUACGUAAGUAAGUAAGACCCCUCAAAGACUAUGAGGUUGAUAGGUCUGAGGUGUAAGCAUGGCGACAUGUUAAGCCAGCGGAUACUAAUAGGUCGAGGGCUUUUCCUU
rnacentral:rRNA from 1 species